AAAAUCCGUCGACUUUAUAAAUCG
rnacentral:tRNA from 2 species